AAACUCUCGUUAAGGAACUCGGCAAAAUGACCCCGUAACUUCGGGAGAAGGGGUGCCCCGGUAGUGUGAAUAGCACGAGGGGGCCGCAGUGAAGAGGCCCAAGCGACUGUUUAGCAAAAACACAGGUCUGUGCGAAGCCGUAAGGCGAAGUAUACGGGCUGACGCCUGCCCGGUGCUGGAAGGUUAAGAGGAGUGGUUAGCCGCAAGGCGAAGCUAUGAAUUGAAGCCCCAGUAAACGGCGGCCGUAACAAUAACGGUCCUAAGGUAGCGAAAUUCCUUGUCAGGUAAAUUCUGACCCGCACGAAUGGCGUAACGACUUGGGCGCUGUCUCAACGAGAGAUCCGGUGAAAUUUUAGUACCUGUGAAGAUGCAGGUUACCCGCGACGUGACGGAAAGACCCCAUGGAGCUUUACUGUAGCUUGAUAUUGAACUUUGGUACGGUCUGUACAGGAUAGGUGGGAGCCUUUGAAGCAGGAGUGCAAGCUUCUGUGGAGGCGCCGUUGGGAUACCACCCUGAUCGUAUCGGAGUUCUAACUCGCUGCCCUUAUCGGGCAGGAGGACCGUGUCAGGCGGACAGUUUGACUGGGGCGGUCGCCUCCUAAAAUGUAACGGAGGCGCUCUAAGGUUCCCUCAGCGCGGUUGGAAAUCGCGCGCAGAGUGCAAGGGCAUAAGGGAGCUUGACUGCGAGACCUACAAGUCGAGCAGGGACGAAAGUCGGACUUAGUGAUCCGGUGGUACCGAAUGGAAGGGCCAUCGCUCAACGGAUAAAAGCUACCCUGGGGAUAACAGGCUUAUCUCCCCCAAGAGUCCACAUCGACGGGGAGGUUUGGCACCUCGAUGUCGGCUCAUCGCAUCCUGGGGCUGAAGUAGGUCCCAAGGGUUGGGCUGUUCGCCCAUUAAAGCGGUACGCGAGCUGGGUUCAGAACGUCGUGAGACAGUUCGGUCCCUAUCUGUCGCGGGCGUAGGAAAUUUGAGAGGGGCUGUCCUUAGUACGAGAGGACCGGGAUGGACGCACCGCUGGUGUACCAGUUGUUCCGCCAGGAGCAUCGCUGGGUAGCCAAGUGCGGAAGGGAUAAGCGCUGAAAGCAUCUAAGCGCGAAGCCUGCCUCAAGAUGAGAUUUCCCAAUUCGUAAGACCCCUGGAAGAACACCAGGUUGAUAGGCUCGGGGUGGAAGCGCGGUAACGUGUGCAGCUGACGAGUACUAAUCGGUCGAGGCUUAUCC
rnacentral:rRNA from 1 species